rfam:Triticum aestivum genome assembly, contig: Triticum_aestivum_CS42_TGACv1_scaffold_582045_7BL
AUACUUACCUGGACGGGGUCAACAAGCAAUCAACAAGGCUAGUGGCCUAGAUCAAUGGUUUACAUUGCACUUGGUGAGUGCGUUGGUCUACCAUCUCCCUAAGUGGGAGAACGGACGUCAUAAUUAGUGGUAGAGGGGUUACGCGUUCGCGCGGCCCCUGC